rnacentral:rRNA from 1 species
UACGAAGGGGGCUAGCGUUGUUCGGAUUUACUGGGCGUAAAGCGCACGUAGGCGGAUCGUUAAGUCGGGGGUGAAAUCCUGGGGCUCAACCCCAGAACUGCCUUCGAUACUGGCGAUCUCGAGUCCGGAAGAGGUGAGUGGAACUCCUAGUGUAGAGGUGGAAUUCGUAGAUAUUAGGAAGAACACCAGUGGCGAAGGCGGCUCACUGGUCCGGUACUGACGCUGAGGUGCGAAAGCGUGGGGAGCAAACAGGG